CGGGGAUAAUACUCGAUAAAGGCGGGGGGAUAUAAAUCAUUCCCGCUUAAAGCUCCGGCGCUUCGGGAGGGGCCUAUGGCUUAUCAGCUUGUUGGCGAGGGUAAAAGCCCACCAAGGCUAUGACGAGUAACGGGUGUGAGAGCAUGACCCGUCUCACUGGGACUGAGACACUGCCCAGACUCCUGCGGGAGGCUGCAGUCGAGAAUCUUCCUCAAUGGCCGAAAGGCUGAAGGAGCGACGCCGCGUGCAGGAAGACGCCCCUCGGGGUGUAAACUGCUUUUAUGUGGGACGAAACAAUGACGGUACCACAAGAAUAAGGGGCUGCUAACUUCGUGCCAGCAGCAGCGGUAAUACGAAGGCCCCAAGCGUUAUCCGGAUUUAUUGGGUGUAAAGGGUCCGUAGGCGGGUUUAACGCAUCUCCUGUUAAACCUCAAGGCUCAACCUUGAGGCCGCGGGAGAGAUGGUUAAACUAGAGACCGGGAGAGGCACAUGGAAUUGCUGGUGUAGGGGUUAAAUCCGUUAAUAUCAGCAGGAACACCAAAUGCGAAGGCAGUGUGCUAGAACGGUUUCGCUCAGGGACGAAGGCGUGGGGAGCGAAUGGGAUUAGAUACCCC
rnacentral:rRNA from 1 species